UUUAUGGUAUUGUUUUAUGGAUAAGAUUCAAAUCCAUCUAACCUCAUGAUGGUUUUUAGAAUAUCAUAGAAGUAAUAACAUAGAAAAAAACAUUUUAUCAUACAUUAUAAUUAUUAUUUUUUAUAAUCAUACAAAUCAGUGACAUCUAAAAUGACUCUGAAUUAUUCAUAUAUGCGUUUAAUUGAGCUGAAUUUUAUAGUUUAAAUGAAUAAAAAUAAUAUUUUUGUUUUGUAGGUUAACCUUCAAAUAUUUUAAUUGUUUUCCCUCUUCUGACGUCUAGCUAAUUAUUGUAAAUAAAUGUAAAUCAAAAUGCUUAGCCAAAGAUUUGCAACAAAAUACGUCAUAAAACAAUUCGGAAAAUUAAUUUCCCCUUUUUCAACACAAAUAAAAAUUGAUGACAUAUUAACUACAUAUUUAAAACUCGAUAAUAAUACUAUUGAAACACUUCAUGAAUACGAAAAGAAGAGUAAAAUUAAAAAAAUAUCGAAAAACAGACUUGUUCGGAAUUGUAUAACAUUGCGCGAUUUGGAUGUAAAAUUAGAAAAGAACGAAUAUUUGCUAGAAUGCUUAAUGCUCGAUCCUAAACUCUUGAGGAAUAGAAUUCUUGUGCUUAAAGAAAUGGGCAUAGACUCUGUAGAUUUAUCUCAUAUUAGACGGUUUUCAACAUUAAUGCACAAAUCUGUGCACCAGUUCAAAAAGUUACAUGGCAUUUCAUCUAGUCAAAGUAUUAUGAGAACUUUAUUUUCUAAUGUAGGCAUUAAAGUUGAUAUACCUGAUCAAAAAAUGCUAAAAGAAGAGUCUCAUAUGCGAAUUGGUAGUUAUUAUCAAUUGUGUGUGGUAUACCAUAAAACAUAUCAUAUGAAAUUGCAUGAUGAAUUGUUUUAUAAACAGAAGAAAAUAAAAUAUUUAAGUCUUACAGAAAUGUCCAGAACGCUAGAUGUGCUGAAACAUAAAUGUCAGUUUGAUAUAGAAUUCUUAAAACAACACCUUUACCUUCUAAAUGUGGAUGUUGACAACGUUGAACAAUUUUUAAAUGAAUUUAAAUACCUAAAAAUAAAUAAUAAAAAUAUAAUUGAAAUAAUAAGAAUAUAUCCCCGAAUCCUGCUUCGUGAUGCAAGUGAAAUAAAAGAAUUAUUACAAAUUUUCCAGAACUUCGAAAUACCACAUGAAUCUCUAUAUACUACAAUGAAAGGUUUGAAAAUAAGGAAAGACACGUUUUUAAGACGGUAUAUUUCUAUGGAAAAUAACUUAGAGUUAGCUGUAUGGUUGAAGCAUCCACGAGUCUUGAUUAUGAUUUAUUUCUACAAAUUGGUCAUAAAUCGUUUAACAUAUAUGAAACAUUUAAACUUUACGAACAAUGCAAAUAUUAACACAUAUUUAUCAGAUAAGGAAUUCUUUUCGAGAUUUUUGGAAGGAGAUACUUAUGCAGCAACAAGAAAAUAUUUAGCAUAUAUUGUAAGGAAAGAACUAGGGCAUGACAAGGUUCAUGUUUUGUCUUCUAUUCAACGACAUGCUUAUUGGAAAUAUGUUUCACUGACACGCAUCAAUGAAACAAUACAAUAUUUGAAGAAACAUUUUUCAAUAGAUGAUAUAUGUAAAAAUAUUCAGAUUAUACUUUAUCCAAUGUCGACAAUUGAUAAUACAUUAAAUUUGUUGUACAAAGAAUGUUCCUUACAAGAUGGAUAUAAUUAUACUCCUACACAAUAUUUGGCAUUAUGCUUGUACAAGUUAGAACAAAAACAUCAUUUCAGUGGGGACGGAGUGUGGCAAGACGAAAUGUCAGUUUUUAAACCAAAUGUUUUGGAGGAUGUAUAUGAGCUUGAUCAACUUGUUGAUCAUAUAAAUUAUGGUUACAACGAAGUGAUCAAUUUAAAUGAAGCAGCAUGGCUUGAACAUUUACUACAAUACUAAGUAUACACCUCACUGAGCAGUGCACUAAAUCACCAGAAACCCCAGUGAAGUGCAUCCACUGUUAAGGAGACCAUCCUGCUAACUACAAAGGUUGCUCAGCCUAUAAAACCCUAUACAUAAAAAAGUAUCCUAAACUCAGAGCCAAAGACACAACCAAUCAAAUACCCAGUCCUCCAAAAUUCACUAUUACUUCAAUCUCUUAUGCCCAAGCAGUACAAGGAAAUCAAAAUAAUCCGAAAACCCAUAGGGACCAUUCUCAAAAUAGUAUUCCCAAUCCACAAAACACAGACAACUUCUCUAGACUUGAAAAAUUAAUCGAAAAACAAUCAGAACAAAUAAAUAACUUACUAUCAUUAUUAACACUCAUCAUGGAUAAAUUAAUACGCCUGACACAAAAUAAAACCAAGACGCAUAGCUCUUUGGAAUGCCAACGGUCUAGCUCAACACAAAUUCAAACUAGAACUCUUCCUAAAACAACAGCUAAUCGACGUAAUGCUCAUAUCUGAAACCCACUUCACCGACAAAAAAAAGACUACCUCCAAGCUACAAACGUAGCAAUAGAAGACUGCCAUGGUACAAUCACCACUUCAGCAGUACAUUGCCCUCCCAGACACUCCAUUGCUAAAGAAGACUUUGAUAACUUCCUUGAUGCUCUGGGCAAUAAAUUCAUAGUUGGAGGAGACUAUAACACCAAACAUACCCAAUGGGGCAGCAGACUUGUCACAGUAAGAGGCAAAAAUCUCUUGAAUCACCAACAAUCUCAACUACCUCACCACAUAUGAAUCCACAUAUUGGUCCACUGAUACUAACAAAAUACCUGACUUACUUGACUUCUUCAUAACUACAAAUAUCUCGCCAAGGUAUGUCCAAAUCAAUUCCUCGGCGGAUCUCUCUUCUGACCAUUCCCCCGUUAUAGCAACAGUCAGUUCAACAAUUAUCGAGAAUCCAUAACCAACUCAUCAACUGGCAGCUCUUUAGAGAAGUCUUUAAUCACUCAACUUCAGCCUCAAUUUCACUAAAAACAAAUGAAGAUAUCGAAACAGCCACGAAAUAUUUAAACACGAGCAUAAUAAACGCUACCUACUAAGACUUCUAUCAGCAAACAUGAAUAUCCCCAUUACAUAUUAAAAAAAAAUCGCAGAAAGACGUAGACUAAGAAGAGUAUGGCAGAUCAAUAGAACACCGGAUGACAAACGCAAACUAAACAACGCAACUAGGAAGUUAACCAAAAUCAUCAAAAAAUAUAAAAAUGAUUAGGUUAGGUGCUUUGAACACGUCGACAAAACAAAAGAAUGUGCUAAGACCACCUAUUGACAAAAUCUGCAAUCAAUUUUGAAUAUUUAUUAAAAAUUACUUUCGCAUACAAAUUUAAUAUUAACAUACAAAAUUACAAUAAGUUGUGUCGAAUUUUUUAGAUAUCUCAAAAGGAGUUGAUUAUUUAAGGCACGUUAUCGUCAAAUAAUUGAUUACAUGUUUUCAUUUUUAAGUGUAUUUAAAUGCGAGUAAUUACAAACGUCAUAAAAAGAUGGGCAGAGUACAAAAUACACACGAAAUAUCUCUGUAAAAGACUUUACAAGUUCAGGUGAUGUUUUAUACUCUCUCUAUAUAUGUACAUGAUUUCGUAUACACUACAGAGUAUUUGAAUAAAAUACAACACAACACGUUCAUUUUCAUUCGGUUUUUCUUAAUAACUACGAACAAGGGACAAAUAAUACAAAAGUACUCACACCUCAUACGAACUUACACCUUUAAGGCACUAGAAUGCUCUCAUUCAAUUAAUUGCUUCCCUUAAAAUAUUUUAUUUCUUACAGAUAUACGUUUAUUAUAAAAAAACAUAUUUUUUCCAGGGCUGCUUUCUUACUAAGAAGAAUCAACGAUUAUCGUAUUCUUAGUGUUAAACUUUCUUUUACAAAUGUAAUUCCAAUGAAUUUCAUGAAUCUUUUAAAGCUAUAUAAUACAAAAUAGAAUUACAUUGAGAACAGAAUAAACUUCAUAAAUAAAAGAAGCUUUCAAGAUCUCUCAAA